rfam:Medicago truncatula strain A17 chromosome 4, whole genome shotgun sequence.
AAACAACCCCCUAUGUAUUGGAUCUUUGGCAGUUUUGGUCCCAAGACCACUUUUGACUUAGUCUUCGCUGACAUGACACCCACAAUGGUCGACACCUGGCACCUCAAUUAAGAGAUGUGGGUGCCACGUCAGCGAAGAUUAAGUCAAAAGUGGCCUUGGGGCCAAAAGUGCCAAAGAUCCAAUACAUAGGGGACUGUUU